rnacentral:rRNA from 1 species
UACGGAGGGUGCGAGCGUUGUCCGGAAUUACUGGGCGUAAAGGGCUCGUAGGUGGCCAACUAAGUCAGACGUGAAAUCCCUCGGCUUAACCGGGGAACUGCGUCUGAUACUGGAUGGCUUGAGUUUGGGAGAGGGACGCGGAAUUCCAGGUGUAGCGGUGAAAUGCGUAGAUAUCUGGAGGAACACCGGUGGCGAAGGCGGUUCUCUGGGACGGUACUGACGCUGAGACGCGAAAAGCGUGGGGAGCGAACAGG